CUCUUCGCUGGCACGGCCAGCCCCCUCCCCUCUGUCCAAGAGAGAGGGUCCGGGGCCCGCGGAUCCCCCCCUCCCCUUGGCUUGGGGACCCGCGGCACAGCGGGCGCUGCCCCGCCGGGACGGCGGCAGGAAAAUCUCCGUCCCGGCGCCCGCGGGGCCCUUGGCAAUGACCGCGGCGUUCCCCGCAGCCCACCCGGGCCCUGUAGAUCCGGAGGGGCUGCGGAGGUGUCGGACGGAGCUGCCCAAACGAUCCACGGAUGGACUGAGCCCUGGCCCGGCUCUCCGGCAGCGUGUCUGGGGGGGGGUCCGCUCGGCGUGGGGCCAACCCUCUCGCCCCCCCAGCCGCAGGGCAGGGUAUCUGGUUUCCCCCCCCGGAGCCAGCAGAUCCCGCCAGCAGCGCUGGAGCAGUUGGGGAAAGCCGCCGGCCCGUCCCCGGGGGUCUCCAGCCUGCCGAGGCGGCGGGACUGCUCCUCGCUGCCUUCUCCCCUCCCCAAAACCCAGCGCUGCGGUUGGGUUUGGGGAGUUUUCCAGCUGCCACGGCUCCCGCUGGGCCAACACCUGAGACAGGAGAGGAGGAGGAGGAGGAGGAGGAGGAGGAGGAGGAGGAGGGAAACGUAGCCCGGCAGACGCAGCUCCCGGCUUCCCAAGCCCCUCUCCCUGAGCCAGCCAGCGGUGUCAGGACGGAGCCCACGCCGCAGGACAAAGCGGGCACAGAGCACAGCCAGGUCAAACCACUGGGAAGCCUCAUCCCCACAUCCUGUUCCUUCUCCUCCUCGCCCGGUGCCCGCAGCGGCUCCGCGUGGGUGAGGCCGUGCCCGCCCUGCCCUCGGGGCCACGUCACCGGGCAGCUGAGCUCACCUCCAUCCCACCCCGCGGGUCCUCCGGCCGGCGCCAGGACCAGCCCGGCCUCCCACUGCUGACCUUUGCGGCCGACAGCCGGAGGAGGGAGAGACGGGGGUCGACCGGACCCAGAAAUCCCGGCUUUAGCCCCAAACCGCCCGCGAGACGCUCCGGCAGCGCCCGGCUCCUUGGGGACACCCCUGGGGCGCAGGCAGGGGCACGGAGCAGCCAUCCGGCUCGGCGUGUCCCCUCCUGCCGGGCUGGCAGCAGGAGCCCAGCUGUGGCCGUCUGUCUCCCCGAGCCGCUGCCUGGGCGAGGGCGCCGUGCCAUGUGCCGGGAAGGAAGCCGGAGGAGCGGGAAGGACACUGCGAGACAAAUCCGAGCCCGACGGGUGCGAGGGAACACCCCUGUCACCUUCCCCGCCAUCCCUGGGUGAAGCUCGCCAGACUCAGGGGAGUCCUGGGAGAGGCUGUGUGGGCGCAGCUGAGCCUGGGGGUGCCGGAGCCCCCAGAGGGCUGCCAGGCUCCUGCACCCGGUCCGUAUCCAGCCCAUUCCCUGGUCGGCGCCGGUGGGAAGAGGGAGGGGUGGCCAGGCCCUGGCCCCCACUGAGGUGCCAGCUCUGCUCCACAGCGGGGCCCCUCAGCUCGGGCUCCACGGUCACCGAGCCCGGGAGGAGGGACUUGGGAGCGGCUGCUCCAGCGGCAGGCGGGAGCCGGCUGGAGGACCCUGCUGUGAGCACGACUCGAGUUCCUCACAGCCACAUCCCCCCGGCUCCCUCGAGGCCACUCCGCAGCCUGUGGAGGCUGGCUGUGAGCACAGGCUGUUGGUUGAGCCAGUGUCACAUCCCUGGAAGUGCUCAUAGCCACACUGG
rnacentral:lncRNA from 1 species